UGGAGAUGGAACAUUUACCCUUUGCAGCUAUUUUUGUUUAUUGUUGCUUGGUAUUGCAAGUGACGGCCGUUGCCUCUGUUCUUAGGGAGCUGUUUGGAUUCUGUUCCAUUCUUCUGGAACUAUCUGAAAGUUAAACUGGAUGCGUUUGCAAGGUUGUAAGAUGCUCUUAUUUUCUAGAGUUUUUUGACUACUGAUCUGUACAGGGGUCUGAAAUGCAGGUGGUCUUCUCAAUUGUCGGUUGUCUGCUGGUUUCCAUAGUGACAAGAAGGCACUGAGUAGUGAAGUCCUGCUGAUGCAUUGCCCACAGUGGAUGCCGAGAUGUGCAUAUAAGAGCAUUUUGGUGGAUGGAUCAAAGACAAAACAGACGAGACUGAAUUAAAAGAAAAAAUCAUGUUGCAAACCUUCUCAAACUAUUUGUGCAUUCUGAGCUCACGAAAAUCAAAAGAACAGAGAGGAAACUGAAUGACAUUCACAUAAUAUACAGCACGGAAGAAACAGAAUAUAGAAAACAUAAUGCAACACAAAGGAAAACAACACUGGAGAAUCGGGAAGAAAGAAGAAAAGGCAGGAGGCCUGGAAAAGCAAACACUGUUACCCACAAAAAUAAAGGGAGUUUAUUUACAAAGGGACAUAAUAUGCAGUGAUAGAUAUGGGAAUAGAAAGGGACGUAUAAAAGGCUUGAUAAAGAAUGUGCAUGACAAAUGGUGUAUGUCUAGAGUAGUGGGAGAGAUAAUGAACAUUUUCAAACCUGCUAUAUGAGUGCUGCUAUCAAGUAUUUACAAAUAUAGGGAAUGGUUUAUGAAGUUUGUUAAUGGAAAUAGCCAGGAUAAGGGUGAUGCCUUUCAAAGAAAUAAAGGCUGUGAAACAACUCAGAAACUAGAAAUGAGCAAGUCAUUGGGACUUAAUAACUUGUUACAAUUAACUCUGUAUUGCUCCAAUUUGGUUUGGUUGUAGAAGAAUUUAUAUAAUGGUUGGAAUACACAAAAGCAGAUGAGGACCAGGAUAUAUAGAAAGCAAAUCUGCAGUAGAAAGGUCAAACCAGACAAAUUUAAUAGACAUCUUCAGCUGUGUAUGAAAGCUGAUACGGUAGACAGGGUCUGCUGACAUGGCCUGUUUUAGUUUAUAUGCAAAUGAAACUAAAAGGAAAUUAUGUUCUUCAGUCGGAAUUUGAACACAGGCCUUCAGCACAGCAUUCUGCUAAUACAACCAGCUCUUCCACUUUAGCAGCUGGAAUGGUGCAUACAGUUAAUUUCAUUAAUAUGUGACAUGGUAGAGCCAAGUGGGUGCAAAAGUAGUUAUUUUCAUAAACUGUUCUGUCUUGUCUGUGUACUUACAAAGCUGAGGACCCUUGAGAAGCAUAUCAUAUGAUGGAAGUGAAGUCAACAGUUGCCUAUCAAGAAGGAAGGCAGUACCUUGUUGUCUUACUUGUAAUAAUACUAUUCUGCCUGAUUAUUCUAUCAUCCUUUGCUACUUUCUCACACAACUUGCAUAUCUUUAGGUCAUUUAAUAUGAUUAUUUUAUAUCCUUUUCCACUUAUGUUGUUGCUGCUGUUUCCACUUCACUCACGUUCUGCUCUCCUGAGAUGUUGUUUCUCAGAUGUGUUGUUUUUGCAUUUUUUUAAUUAAGCUGACAUUUGAAAGUACUUUAUCCAAUGUUACCAGCUCAUAGUCAUUUCUGAACCUAUCUUGUUUAUUUCUCCUGGUGUAUAUCUUUACAUCCUCAUAAGACAGGCAUGCUUUCCCUGUUCUACCUUCUGCAGUUAUUCUUAAUCAUCCUUUUUAUGCUAAUAUUCUUUCCAGAUGAUAUGAAAGCAUACAGCAAACUGCUAAGUGAGAAAGCAGAACAGAAGGCUGGUGGUGUACUUAAAAUGUCAUCAGCAGUAAAGUACAGUAAAUUGCUUUUUCUUUUUUGACUCAAUGAUAUCCUGGCAGGAAUAUUUCGCACAGUUGUAGACAUCCCAUCACUGUAAAAUCAUUGACAUGGCUAAGAGAGUUCAAAUGAUUGCAAUAAAAACGUUGUGCAUUCAUUUGCAGAAUACUGUAAAUGUAAAGGUAAACUGGAAUACAAAUCUUGA